UACGUAGGGUGCGAGCGUUAAUCGGAAUUACUGGGCGUAAAGCGUGCGCAGGCGGUUUUGUAAGCCAGAUGUGAAAUCCCCGGGCUUAACCUGGGAAUGGCAUUUGGGACUGCAAGGCUGGAGUACGGCAGAGGAGACUGGAAUUCCUGGUGUAGCAGUGAAAUGCGUAGAGAUCAGGAGGAAUACCGAUGGCGAAGGCAGGUCUCUGGGCCGUUACUGACGCUGAGGAGCGAAAGCGUGGGGAGCGAACAGG
rnacentral:rRNA from 1 species